rnacentral:rRNA from 1 species
CCCUUAGAUGUCCUGGGCUGCACGCGCGCUACACUGAUGCAUUCAACAAGCCUAGCCUUGACCGAGAGGUCCGGGUAAUCUUUGAAACUGCAUCGUGAUGGGGCUAGAUUAUUGCAAUUAUUAAUCUUCAACGAGGAAUGCCUAGUAAGCGUGAUUCAUCAAAUCGCGUUGAUUACGUCCCUGCCCUUUGUACACACCGCCCGUCGCUCCUACCGAUUGAAUGUGUUGGUGAGGAGCUCGGAUUGGCAGCAGUUGGUGGUUCGCCACCGGCUAUUGCUGAGAAGUCCUCCAAACCGCCCCAUUUAGAGGAAGGAGAAGUCGUAACA